GCAAGUCGAACGAGAAAGUCACUUCGGUGGCGAUUACAGUGGCGCACGGGUGAGUAACACGUAGGUGACCUAUCCUUUAGUGGGGGACAACCCGGGGAAACUCGGGCUAAUACCGCAUGUGAUGAACGACUUUGGAAGGAGUUCAUGAAAGGUGGCUUCGGCUACCGUUAGAGGAGGGGCCUGCGGCCCAUUAGCUUGAUGGUGGGGUAAUGGCCUACCAUGGCAACGAUGGGUAGCUGGUCUGAGAGGAUGAUC
rnacentral:rRNA from 1 species